rnacentral:lncRNA from 1 species
AAAAUGAAUGAAUGAUAUUAAUUUGGUAAAAGUCCUCCUUUGACCAAUUUUUGAUUUCAUUCAUCCCCUUCCCACUUCAUCUCAUUCCUCUUCUCCAUUCAUUCAUUCCAUUUGGCCUAUGAUAUUUCAAAGUCCUAAUGCUAGUUGAUUGAAAAAUUGACAUGAGUAUUGAUGAGAUUAGGCCACACCUUUUGCAUAUUCUUUUUG